AACAGGGAUUGCCUUAGUAACGGCGAGUGAAGCGGCAAAAGCUCAAAUUUGAAAUCUGGCACCUUCGGUGUCCGAGUUGUAAUUUGAAGAAGGUAACUUUGGGAUUGGCUCUUGUCUAAGUUCCUUGGAACAGGACGUCACAGAGGGUGAGAAUCCCGUGCGAUGAGAUGACCAAUCCUAUGUAAAGUGCUUUCGAAGAGUCGAGUUGUUUGGGAAUGCAGCUCUAAGUGGGUGGUAAAUUCCAUCUAAAGCUAAAUAUUGGCGAGAGACCGAUAGCGAACAAGUACAGUGAUGGAAAGAUGAAAAGAACUUUGAAAAGAGAGUGAAAAAGUACGUGAAAUUGUUGAAAGGGAAGGGCUUGAGAUCAGACUUGGUAUUUUGCAUUCCUUACCUUCGUGGUGGGGUUCCUUGCAGUUUACUGGGCCAGCAUCGGUUUGGAUGGUGGGAUAAUGACAUUGGAAUGUGGCUCUGCUUCGGUAGAGUGUUAUAGCCAGUGUUGAUACCGCCUGUCUAGACCGAGGACUGCGUCUUUGACUAGGAUGCUGGCAUAAUGAUCUUAAGUCGCCCGUCUUGAAACCGGGA
rnacentral:rRNA from 1 species